rnacentral:lncRNA from 1 species
GCAUUAAACUCUUUACUAAAAAGCAAAAAUUCAGGAUGAAGGAAAAGUAUGCUCCAAUUGUAUCUUAUCUAUGAAAUACAUUAAAUGUAAAGACACAUUUAGAUAGAAAGCAAAUAGUUGUAAAAAAUGUAUACCGUAGAAAUAGGAAACAAAUGUCUGGAGUGGAUAAAUUAUUAAUAAGUAAAAUAUGUACUGUUUUAUAAGUACGACGGAAAUUUGUAAAAAGUAGAGAAAAGUGUGAGGAUCAGCAAUAUUCAGAAAUUACCAUUUCAAAUCAAUUGGUCAAGGUAGACCUCAUGAAACAUGCGGCAUUUAAAUAACAACAGAAGAAGCUUUGCAUGAUUAAAAAGUGAGGAAAAUCCACAGAAAAGAAACUCAGGGACUUGGAGAAUAGACUUGUGGUUGCUGAGCGGGGGGAGGGGAAGGGAGUGGGGUGGUUGAGGAACUUGGGGUUAAUAGAUACAAACUAUUGCCUUUGGAACAGAUUAGCAAUGAGAUCCUGCUUUGUAGCACUGGGCACUAUGUCUAGUCACUUAUGAUGGAGCAUGAUAAUGUGCGAACAUAGAAUGUGUACAUGUAUGCGUAACUGGGUCACCAUGCUGUACAGCAGGAAAAAAAAUUGUAUUAGGGAAACAACUAUUAAAAUAAUAAUAAUAACAAAGACAAAGAAGUGAGGAAGAUCAAGUUCGGUGUCAUAACCUAGUUAGAGUGCUAAUGCUACUGGUGCUGUUGAUGCUGAUGAGAUGACUGGUCUCCAGGUUAUUUCCUCAGUCAUUGUAUAAAUAAUGCUGUUCCUUGUAUCAUUCACUCUGAUCCUUGUAUUAUUCACAUGCCCUUCCCUGACUGUUCCAAAAAACAAAGAGAAGAAACUGGAUCCAUUAUCUCAAGUCUUGGGAGAGAAGGACCUGGAAUUUCCCCUACUAAAGACUGUAAUCAGUGGUGAAGAGAAUCUAAGAAGACAGAAGGACAGCCAGCAAGGAUGAUCCCUAUUUAUGGCAAUGUAGAGAAGAAGUCCUGGAAACCGGAAGUACUGAUGCUCAGAGACACAUCAAAUGGAUCUAAGUGUACAACAUUAAACUCUUUUGGCUACUCUAUAAAAUACAUUUAAAAUCUUCUAAUGAUUCCUAUAGAUAUAACAUUCUUUCUGUUUAAUCCUUAAAGAAAGAUUAGAUUUGGUGAGCAGAAGAACUGCUUACUAGAACAGUUAUUAUCCUGGGUCAUUUGGGAGGUGGUGCUCUGGAUUGUCAAAUUAGGGUGCAAAUCCUAGCUAUAUUUUGGAUUAAACUGCCAUCGUCAUUCCUCAUGAUUGCAAACUUUUGAAUAAAAAUUGGCCUGGCAUGGGCUUCA